GGGUGCUGAAGCUGUAGGCUUCGAUCCCAAUGGUGAAAAGCAGACAGAAAAAAGCCCCGAGUUAGUUAAACCAACCCGAGGCCCUCUCAUGCUAGACACCAUGAUAGUAGCCUCUUCAUUUUGUGUUUGCAACGCAGGAGGCGAAGAUG
rnacentral:antisense_RNA from 1 species